AUUGAACGCUGGCGGCAUGCCUUACACAUGCAAGUCGAACGGCAGCACGGGGGCAACCCUGGUGGCGAGUGGCGAACGGGUGAGUAACACAUCGGAACGUGCCCAGUAGUGGGGGAUAGCUCGGCGAAAGCCGGAUUAAUACCGCAUACGACCUACGGGUGAAAGCGGGGGAUCGCAAGACCUCGCGCUAUCGGAGCGGCCGAUGUCAGAUUAGGUUGUUGGUGGGGUAAAGGCCACCAAGCCGACGAUCUGUAGCUGGUCUGAGAGGACGACCAGCCACACUGGGACUGAGACACGGCCCAGACUCCUACGGGAGGCAGCAGUGGGGAAUUUUGGACAAUGGGCNCAAGCCUGAUCCAGCCAUG
rnacentral:rRNA from 1 species